UUGACCUCGGAUCAGGUAGGAAUACCCGCUGAACUUAAGCAUAUCAAUAAGCGGAGGAAAAGAAACCAACAGGGAUUGCCUCAGUAACGGCGAGUGAAGCGGCAACAGCUCAAAUUUGAAAUCUGGCCCCCAGGCCCGAGUUGUAAUUUGUAGAGGAUGAUUCUGGCGACGCGCCUUCCGAGUUCCCUGGAACGGGACGCCAAAGAGGGUGAGAGCCCCGUCCGGUCGUGCGCCUAGCCUCUGUGAAUCUCCUUCGACGAGUCGAGUAGUUUGGGAAUGCUGCUCUAAAUGGGAGGUAUACGUCUUCUAAAGCUAAAUACCGGCCAGAGACCGAUAGCGCACAAGUAGAGUGAUCGAAAGAUGAAAAGCACUUUGAAAAGAGGGUUAAAUAGUACGUGAAAUUGCUGAAAGGGAAGCGCUUAUGACCAGACUUGGGCGUGGUGAAUCAUCCGGCGUUCUCGCCGGUGCACUUUGCCUGUCCAGGCCAGCAUCAGUUCGCUUCGGGGGAUAAAGGCUUCGGGAAUGUAGCUCCCUCGGGAGUGUUAUAGACCGUUGCGUAAUACCCUGGGGUGGACUGAGGUACGCGUUCUGCAAGGAUGCUGGCGUAAUGGUCAUCAGUGACCCGUCUUG
rnacentral:rRNA from 1 species